GAUGAACGCUGGCGGCGUGCUUAACACAUGCAAGUCGAACGGAAAGGCCCAAGCUUGCUUGGGUACUCGAGUGGCGAACGGGUGAGUAACACGUGGGUGAUCUGCCCUGCACUUUGGGAUAAGCCUGGGAAACUGGGUCUAAUACCGGAUAGGACGAUGGUUUGGAUGCCAUUGUGGAAAGUUUUUUCGGUGUGGGAUGAGCUCGCGGCCUAUCAGCUUGUUGGUGGGGUAAUGGCCUACCAAGGCGUCGACGGGUAGCCGGCCUGAGAGGGUGUACGGCCACAUUGGGACUGGGAGACGGGCCAGACUCGUACGGGAGGCAGCAGUGGGGAAUAUUGCACAAUGGGCGCAGGCCUGAUGCAGCGAGGCCGCGUGGGGGAUGAGGGCCUUCGGGUUGUAAACACCUUUCGCUAGGGACGAAGCGUUUUUGUGACGGUACCUGGAGAAGAAGCACCGGCUAACUACGUG
rnacentral:rRNA from 1 species